UACGUAGGGUGCGAGCGUUAAUCGGAAUUACUGGGCGUAAAGCGUGCGCAGGCGGUUCGUUGUGUCUGUGGUGAAAGCCCCGGGCUUAACCUGGGAAUGGCCAUGGAAACUGGCGAGCUGGAGUGUGGCAGAGGGGGGUGGAAUUCCGCGUGUAGCAGUGAAAUGCGUAGAGAUGCGGAGGAACACCGAUGGCGAAGGCAGCCCCCUGGGUUGACACUGACGCUCAGGCACGAAGGCGUGGGGAGCAAACAGG
rnacentral:rRNA from 1 species